rnacentral:rRNA from 1 species
AUUGAACGCUGGCGGCAGGCCUAACACAUGCAAGUCGAACGAGUGGCGGACGGGUGAGUAAUGUCUGGAAAACUGCCUGAUGGCGGGGGUUAACUACUGGAAACGGUAGCUAUUACCGCAUACCUGCCGCUGUGCCCCGAUGGGAUUAGCUAGUUGGUGGGGUAACGGCUCACCAAGUCGCAGAUCCCUAGCUGGUCUGAGAGGAUGACCGGCCACACUGGAACUGAGACACGGUCCAGACUCCUACGGGAGGCAGCAGUGGGGAAUAUUGCACAAUGGGCGCAAGCCUGAUGCAGCCAUGCCGCGUGUAUGAUGAAGGCCUUCGGGUUGUAAAGUACUUUCAGCGGGGAGGCGUUACCCGCAGAAGAAGCACCGGCUAACUCCGUGCCAGCCGCCGCGGUAAUAC